rnacentral:rRNA from 1 species
UUGGUGAGGUAAUGGCUCACCAAGGCGACGACGGGUAGCCGGCCUGAGAGGGCGACCGGCCACACUGGGACUGAGACACGGCCCAGACUCCUACGGGAGGCAGCAGUGGGGAAUAUUGCACAAUGGGCGAAAGCCUGAUGCAGCGACGCCGCGUGAGGGAUGACGGCCUUCGGGUUGUAAACCUCUUUCAGCAGGGAAGAAGCGAAAGUGACGGUACCUGCAGAAGAAGCGCCGGCUAACUACGUGCCAGCAGCCGCGGUAAUACGUAGGGCGCAAGCGUUGUCCGGAAUUAUUGGGCGUAAAGAGCUCGUAGGCGGCUUGUCACGUCGGGUGUGAAAGCCCGGGGCUUAACCCCGGGUCUGCAUUCGAUACGGGCUAGCUAGAGUGUGGUAGGGGAGAUCGGAAUUCCUGGUGUAGCGGUGAAAUGCGCAGAUAUCAGGAGGAACACCGGUGGCGAAGGCGGAUCUCUGGGCCAUUACUGACGCUGAGGAGCGAAAGCGUGGGGAGCGAACAGGAUUAGAUACCCUGGUAGUCCACGCCGUAAACGGUGGGAACUAGGUGUUGGCGACAUUCCACGUCGUCGGUGCCGCAGCUAACGCAUUAAGUUCCCCGCCUGGGGAGUACGGC